GACGAACGCUGGCGGCGUGCUUAACACAUGCAAGUCGAACGGUAAGGCCCUUCGGGGUACACGAGUGGCGAACGGGUGAGUAACACGUGGGUGAUCUGCCCUGCACUUCGGGAUAAGCCCGGGCAACUAGGUCUAAUACCGGAUAGGACCACUGCCUGCAUGGGUGGUGGUGGAAAGCUUUUGCGGUGUGGGAUGGGCCCGCGGCCUAUCAGCUUGUUGGUGGGGUGAUGGCCUACCAAGGCGACGACGGGUAGCCGGCCGGAGAGGGUGACCGGCCACACGGGGACUGAGAUACGGCCCAGACUCCUACGGGAGGCAGCAGUGGGAAUAUUGCACAAUGGGCGCAAGCCUGAUGCAGCGACGCCGCGUGAGGGAUGACGGCCUUCGGGUUGUAAACCUCUUUCAGCACAGACGAAGCGCAAGUGACGGUAGGUGCAGAAGAAGGACCGGCCAACUACGUGCCAGCCGCCGCGGUAA
rnacentral:rRNA from 1 species